rnacentral:rRNA from 1 species
GACGAACGCUGGCGGCGUGCCUAAUACAUGCAAGUUGAGCGCUGAAGGUUGGUACUUGUACCGACUGGAUGAGCAGCGAACGGGUGAGUAACGCGUGGGGAAUCUGCCUUUGAGCGGGGGACAACAUUUGGAAACGAAUGCUAAUACCGCAUAAAAACUUUAAACACAAGUUUUAAGUUUGAAAGAUGCAAUUGCAUCACUCAAAGAUGAUCCCGCGUUGUAUUAGCUAGUUGGUGAGGUAAAGGCUCACCAAGGCGAUGAUACAUAGCCGACCUGAGAGGGUGAUCGGCCACAUUGGGACUGAGACACGGCCCAAACUCCUACGGGAGGCAGCAGUAGGGAAUCUUCGGCAAUGGACGAAAGUCUGACCGAGCAACGCCGCGUGAGUGAAGAAGGUUUUCGGAUCGUAAAACUCUGUUGGUAGAGAAGAACGUUGGUGAGAGUGGAAAGCUCAUCAAGUGACGGUAACUACCCAGAAAGGGACGGCUAUCUACGUG